CAGCCGCCGCGGUAACACGGAGGGUGCAAGCGUUAAUCGGAAUUACUGGGCGUAAAGCGUGCGCAGGCGGUCCGCUAAGACAGAUGUGAAAUCCCCGGGCUUAACCUGGGAGCUGCAUUUGUGACUGGCGGGCUAGAGUAUGGCAGAGGGGGGUAGAAUUCCACGUGUAGCAGUGAAAUGCGUAGAGAUGUGGAGGAAUACCGAUGGCGAAGGCAGCCCCCUGGGCCAAUACUGACGCUCAUGCACGAAAGCGUGGGGAGCAAACAGGAUUAGAUACCCGAGUAGUCCCUGUCUCUUAUAC
rnacentral:rRNA from 1 species